CAGCAUGUCAAGUCUGUCAUCUACUGCCACUUCUUCCCUCAGCUCUCUGGAUAGCACACUGUCUCUCAGUUCGGCGGAUCCCAUCCCCAGCCCUCAAGAUACACAGUCCCGGCCUUUUCUGUUUGGAGCUGCUGCGAGACUGCAGCCACUCACACCUGAAAUGCCCAGAAAGCGGUGGACAAGUACUUUCACUUAUGAAAAGGAAGAGGAUGUUUGGAGAGAGAAAGUUCAAGAGACAGACAAUGAGAAUGUGAGUGAAUUGGAAGUAUCUUUUCAUGACUGUGAUGGGGAAAGAGCAGUAAAGUAUGGAGAAAGAACUGAGAAUGAGGAUGCCACAAGCUGCGAGUCCUUCGGUGACAUUCGUGAGGUGAAAGGUUCAACAAGACCACACACGUCAGAGUGUCUCUCUGAGACUGUGUGCAGCAUGGAGUUUAGUUUGAAUCCAUUACAGUCCUCCACUGCAUGUCAGAUAAAGCCCAAUCCUGACAUGAAUUUGCAAGCGAUCUCGCUGAAUCCAUGCAGUAUACGGGCAACCCCACAUGUGAAUCCAGUUGACAAUGUGAUACAGGAAUCCCAGGUCACACAAACGCUCACAAACACACCCGCAACGGCACAAAAGCAAUUAAGCAGCAAAGCAGAUAACUCUGUAAGUCAGAUACAGCUGGAGUGUCCAAAGGCUUGCUCAGACAUUAAUGCCUCAGGUGGGCAGAAAGUGAGCAGAAUGAAAAUCUCAGUCUUUCCUUCUGCAAGAAGGGUGAUGCUAAAACAUUCGAAGGUCAUGGAUCAAACUCAGAGCGUCUCGGUGGAAACAGAGCAGAAAGCUGAGGAAAAAUUGCGAGAAUCUCUCAAGGUUCAGAUCCCACAGACACUGUUUUAUGGUCAUAAUGUUCCGCUGGUGUUACUUACUUCACCUCCUCAGCAAACGUCAGUCCAGGUGAGGACACAUUGUACUCCUCCUGAUGAUGCGGAUAUGACAGACGCAGGUUUGAGGGAUGAAUCUAAUGUUAGUUUUGUCACAACUGAUGUUAGCAAUGGUGUUAGCAGUUACCUGGAAGAGAAAAGUCCUACCGUCAAAUCGAUUAGUCAUAGCUUGAGCACUGAUGACGACCUGUGUCGCCCUGGCUGUAUUACUGAAACUGUUAGCCCUGCUGUUAGCAUUAGCGAGGGUUAUAGUGUCAACCCCAAUAUAAAAGUCUUUCACAGCGAUCCUAAUCAGAGCAUGGCUUAUCCCAAACCCACUAACAAAUCCUCAGGAACUUUUCGUAACACAAUCUGUAUCAAACUCCCUGGCAACAGAGAGACGGCACAAGAACAAACCAUUAUCAUAACCUGAUCUGGUGAUGUAAUACUAUAUGGGGGUGGGGGUAUGCAACAUUUUCAAUUUCAAUGCAAUGUUCGGUAACACUUAAAGCCUUUAUGUAUAAUGCAUUAUAAAGGUAUUCAUAAUGUGUGUUGUAAUGCAUUAUGUGUUUUCAUAAAUAAUUAUAAUUAAAGUUAAAAUGCAUAUUAUAAUAUUUGAAGGUGUGUCUGCCAUGUGUUUUAUUGCAUUAUACUUUAUAAAGGUGUAGCAAUGAAUAAGAUAAGUGUUAUGACUUCGGUCUGAUCAGCAGGUU
ensembl:lncRNA